CUCAGAUGGCAGAGAAAUUCAGAGACGCCAACUUAAGGUAUUUGGCAAGGGAAAGAGGUCCACCAUAUAGGGUUCACUGCUUAACUUCUGACAUCCUCUCCUAUGGACUUCUCCUGGGCAAGGAUGGCAUCUCGGUGCAGGACCCGAAGCACUUUCUCUGGCUCUGCAGACCCGUAGUGAGCCUCCAGAACUUCAGGCUUGGUUUUCUCGG